rnacentral:pre_miRNA from 1 species
GAGUGCCUCGUCGUCACGCCUUGUCACUCACACGUCAUUGUUAUGUGAUUGAAGGUGAUGACGUGACAAUGAUGUGUGAGUGAGAAGACGUGAUGACGUGGUAAUUCGU